CGGGGUGAAGCGACUGGAAGCGUCCUGCCAGUCUGACGUGGGUAUCGCUGCCGUGCGUGUUUUCUGCCUGUCUACUGAUCGCUCCUGCCUCUUGUUCUGCUGUGGUAAUUCCUUUGGGUAAGGCGUUGGGCUCUGACUGAAGUGCAUCCUGACUUCCUCCUGACCCCUGCGAGAUGUUAUCGGUGUUUGCCUUCCUCCCCUUUCACAGGGCCUCGGCUGUUGCGUGCAGAGAAGCUGUCAGCCUUGUGAGAGAGCAUGCAGCCGGCAAGCGCAUCGUGGUGCUUCGGUACCGAGCUGAUACCGCAGGCGUCCGUCUUUUGUUUGCGAAAAGGGAUCGCGAGGAAAGGUGCUGACGUUGGAGGGGGAAAGGUGGCGGGAGAACAGAGGUGAUUUCCAGGCGGAGCUGACCAGUGGGGUUCUCUGGCUGAGGGGAAGACCAGCAGUCAGCUGGUGGAUGUACUUCUGGAAGAAAUAGCAACGGGAGCUCUAAGAGAGGGAAAUGGCUUCCCUGCAUGGAAGGAGGAGGGGAGCGCUGAAGCUUUCGUGGCCAAGCCCCGGAGCCAGGAUGUCAGGGAGAAGCAGGAGUAUCUGAGCCAGCUGAAGAACAAGCUGGGAGAUCUACUAGAGGGGAAGGCAGAUGAUCUGAAGACUGCUUUCUGUGCGAUUGAUCCCAGUAUCGACGAUCAGACGCUAGAUACCUACGUUGACCUGCCGGAUCAAGAAGAUGUGCCUGUGGAAACUGCACUCGAGAGGCUGCUUGCUGGAUAUGCGAGACGAGUAGGGCCCUCGCCCAGGGAGGGAAGCACGACAGGCUUUGGAGGGGAGGAAGGAGACUUCCAAUAAUAAGAAUAAAUGGACUGUUUGAUCUA